GGAGGGCAAGUCUGGUGCCAGCAGCCGCGGUAAUUCCAGCUCCAAUAGCGUAUAUUAACGUUGUUGCAGUUAAAAAGCUCGUAGUUGAAAUGAAGGGUAGUUGUGUAAUGAAUACAUUCGUGUAUUUUGUUAUUCWACUACCCUCCUUCUAAAUUCGAUAUAUGAGUAUUAAUUUACUUGUAUAUGGUUUUAGACGUUUACUGUGAGAAAAUUAGAGUGUUCAAAGCAGGCAUUUGCUUGAAUAUAUUAGCAUGGAAUAAUCAUGUAUGAUUUUCAUGAUGUAUUUGAUUGGUUUGGUUCAUGAGAAUAAGAUUAAAAGGGACAGUUGGGGGUAUUCAUAUUCAAUAGUCAGAGGUGAAAUUCUCGGAUUUAUGGAAGAUGAACAAGUGCGAAAGCAUUUACCAAGGAUGUUUUCAUUAAUCAAGAACGAAAGU
rnacentral:rRNA from 1 species